rnacentral:misc_RNA from 1 species
AAUUCUAUUCUAUAUACGUUUUUACAUAUAUAUAUGUACAUAUAUACAAAGAUUACAAUUCGCGAUAAGGCGAUAAGAGUCACAAUUCGUUUGGUUUUUUUUAUUUUCGUUUUGAUCGACUUCGGUGUGUCCUAUAUAAUUUAUUUACUUUAUUCCAUGUAUGUGCAAUAUAUGGAAUACAUAUAUACAUUCCAUGUAUUGUGAUUAACAAUGUGGAACUGUAACAUCGUAUCUUAUUCAGUGACUUAAUCUGAUUAUUAUAAAAUUAUCUAUAGCCGCAUUAUUUUAUAUCAUUUUAUAUCUUUUUAGAGCUAAAAUUACGUUUUUAAAAUAUAGUUCUAGAUUAAAAAUGAUUUAUAAGAUGCAUAUUAGAUUGAAAAUAUUUCUUAAUAAGAAGGAAUGCAUUUAAUCAGAUUAUGAUUCUAUUUUUAACCUUUGCAAAAUUGUUUUCUAGUCAUUGCAAUACAUUCGUAACGAUAAAAUGCAAAUGAUUUACGAUAUGAAAAAUCGAUUCUAUAGAAUAUGCGCCGUUAUUUCAUAUCUCUCGUUAUACACAACGAGUAAUGUCAAGAAGUUGCGGAUAACUGUUAAGUUUAUUGCCGAUGUCAUCGUGGGAGGAAUAAGGUCGUAUCACGUUUUCCAUACAUGACGUCAGAUUAGAAGCGCCUACGGAACUCGGAGAUUAACCGGUGACGAUGUCAUGGACAAACGCAAAGGCGGACACGCGGGAAGAAUUUCGAGAAUCGAUCAAGUGAGCGAGGACAGACGCCGCGAGGGAUCUACAGCGAGAAUGCGCGUGAUGCCAAGCAAAGAGAAGCGCGGACGAUGCAGAAAGGAAAAUAUUGGAAACUCCAUUAGCGGCGGUGCAACCAGCCGUAUACCGGAAUACAUAAGCAGCUCCCAUAGAGAGGGAGACGGAUGAAGAGAGCACGGCGGCGGGGAAGCAGUUGAACGGCUAUGGGGAUUAUUACGCGAUUCAUUUGUAACAUUCCCUCCCCAGCAGUUCCCGCUGCUAUCUCUCCCUUUCUUCGGAGGUCUCUCUCCCUACGAUCUUUUCUCAGUUUCGUUUCGAUUCGAAAGCUGAAUCUGCCAAAUUUCCUUUGUCCCGCGGAUUUUGUCUAUCUCACUUUUUCUCUCUUUUCAUACUGAUUUUUAAUAUUUUUUGUUAAGCUCUUCUUGUACACACAUACACACACACACACACACACACAAAAUUUAAAUAUUAAUUUACAACUGAGUUUUGCUAGACAUUUUGUUCAAAUAUAUAUAUAUUCUUUUACUUUAUUUAACUUUGCCUUGUAUUUGUCAAGCAAAUCUAUUUUUCAAGUUCUUUCUUUGUUGAUAAAAAUGUUUAAAAAAUCUUCUCUCAAAUUAAAAAGAUUCUCCAAUUUUUUCAUAUAAUAUAAGAACACUUGAUCAAAUAUUAAGAA